rnacentral:rRNA from 1 species
CAGCAGCAGCCGCGGGAAUACGUAGGGUGCAAGCGUUAAUCGGAAUUACUGGGCGUAAAGCGUGCGCAGGCGGUUAUAUAAGACAGAUGUGAAAUCCCCGGGCUCAACCUGGGAACUGCAUUUGUGACUGUAUAGCUAGAGUACGGCAGAGGGGGAUGGAAUUCCGCGUGUAGCAGUGAAAUGCGUAGAUAUGCGGAGGAACACCGAUGGCGAAGGCAAUCCCCUGGGCCUGUACUGACGCUCAUGCACGAAAGCGUGGGGAGCAAACAGGAUUAGAUACCCCCGUAGUCCCUGUCUCUUAUAU